rnacentral:rRNA from 1 species
UACGGAGGGAGCUAGCGUUGUUCGGAAAUACUGGGCGUAAAGCGCACGUAGGCGGCGCAGCAAGUCAGGGGUGAAACCCCGGGGCUCAACCCCGGAACUGCCUCUGAAACUGCAGUGCUAGAAUCUUGGAGAGGCGAGUGGAAUUCCGAGUGUAGAGGUGAAAUUCGUAGAUAUUCGCAAGAACACCAGUGGCGAAGGCGGCUCACUGGCCCGAUACUGACGCUGAGGCACGAAAGCGUGGGGAGCAAACAGG